GCAGGUGUAGCUCAGUGGCAGAGCGUGUGCUUAGUAUGCAAGAAGCCCUGGGUCCAGUCCCCAGCACCUCCA
rnacentral:tRNA from 1 species